UCUCUGUCCGUUUAGGUGUGAAACCAUUCCAGUGUAAAACUUGUCAGCGAAAGUUUUCCCGGUCCGACCACCUGAAGACCCACACCAGGACUCAUACAGGUAAAACAAGUGAAAAGCCCUUCAGCUGUCGGUGGCACAGUUGUCAGAAAAAGUUUGCGCGGUCAGACGAAUUAGUCCGCCAUCACAACAUGCACCAGAGAAACAUGACCAAACUCCAGCUGGCGCUUUGAGGGGUCCGACCCGGAGACAGUCCAGCGUCCCAGGCAAGAAAGUGUGCAAACUGCUUCCAAAUCUGAUUUUGAAAUUCCUCCCUCUCACCUACAAAAGGACAUGAUGGUGGAUCUUCAUCCGACUUCCAAGACAGCACACCUGUUUGACUGCGUCCUAUCAGGUUUGCCGGAAGGAGUCGGUGCUCUGCCCACUCUUGAUUAACUCCCAGGCCUGAAAAAAGUGGCUCACAGUGUCUAGAAAGCCCAUUGACAUUGUCUGGAUUUUCUACCACUAGAAGAACCAUUGCUGAUAAUGUCCCCUGACUUUCCUCUUUUCCUUGUGCUCAUUUCGCUGGGAUUAGAGCGGUUGUUCCAUUUUCUUUCAUGGGAUAUUUAUAGGCCAGGGCAUGUGUAUGUGUCUGUUAAUGUAAACCCUGUCAUGGUCCCCAUUUACUAACAGCCCUAGAAAGAAAUAAAUCAGAGAGCAAGGUACCAGGGGCAAGUAUGGCGCAGAAUUCCAGAGGUCAGGCUGCAA
rnacentral:lncRNA from 1 species